UGGAGGUGAUGAACUGUCUCUGCCUGACCUUGUAGAGUGGAGGCAAAAAAACUGAUUUAAUGAGCCUGAUCC